GCCGCGUGCGGGAAGACGGCCUUAGGGUUGUAAACCGCUGUUGUACGGGAAGAAGAGGUUGACGGUACCGUACGAGGAAGGUCCGGCUAACUACGUGCCAGCAGCCGCGGUAAUACGUAGGGACCGAGCGUUAUCCGGAAUUACUGGGCGUAAAGGGCACGCAGGCGGUCAUGCAAGUCAGCUGUUAAAGAUGGGGGCUUAACCCUUAGGAGCGGUUGAAACUGUGUGACUUGAGUACUGGAGAGGUAAGUGGAAUUCCCGGUGUAGCGGUGAAAUGCGUAGAUAUCGGGAAGAACACCAGUGGCGAAGGCGGCUUACUGGCCAG
rnacentral:rRNA from 1 species